UACGUAGGGGGCGAGCGUUGUCCGGAUUUAUUGGGCGUAAAGGGCGUGUAGGCGGUUUGCUAAGUCAUGUGUGAAAUCCCCCGGCUUAACCGAGGAACGACGCAUGAUACUGGCAAGCUAGAGUACCAAAGAGGGGGGUGGAAUUCCCGGUGUAGCGGUGAAAUGCGCAGAUAUCGGGAAGAACACCCGUGGCGAAGGCGGUUCUCUGGGACGGUACUGACGCUGAGACGCGAAAGCGUGGGGAGCGAACAGG
rnacentral:rRNA from 1 species